rnacentral:rRNA from 1 species
GAUGAACGCUGACAGAAUGCUUAACACAUGCAAGUCGAUUCGAUUUACCUUCGGGUAUUGAGGAUGGCGGACGGGUGAGUAACGCGUAAGGAACUUGCCUCUUGGUCUGGGACAACUGUUGGAAACGACAGCUAAUACCGGAUAUUAUGAGAUUCUCGCAUGGGAAACUUAUGAAAGCUAUAUGCGCCAAGAGAGAGCCUUGCGUUCCAUUAGCUAGUUGGUGGGGUAACGGCCCACCAAGGCGACGAUGGAUAGCCGGCCUGAGAGGGUGAACGGCCACAAGGGGACUGAGACACGGCCCUUACUCCUACGGGAGGCAGCAGUGGGGAAUAUUGGACAAUGGGCCACAAGCCUGAUCCAGCAAUUCUGUGUGCACGAUGAAGGUCUUCGGAUUGUAAAGUGCUUUCAGUUGGGAAGAAGAAAGUGACGGUACCAACAGAAGAAGCGACGGCUAAAUACGUGCCAGCAGCCGCGGUAAUACGUAUGUCGCAAGCGUUAUCCGGAUUUAUUGNGCGUAAAGCGCGUCUAGGCGGAAAAAUAAGUCUGAUGUUAAAAUGCGGGGCUCAACUCCGUAUUGCGUUGGAAACUGUUUUUCUAGAGUACUGGAGAGGUGGGCGGAACUACAAGUGUAGAGGUGAAAUUCGUAGAUAUUUGUAGGAAUGCCGAUGGAGAAGUCAGCUCACUGGACAGAUACUGACGCUAAAGCGCGAAAGCGUGGGGAGCAAACAGGAUUAGAUACCCUGGUAGUCCACGCCGUAAACGAUGAUCACUAGGUNUUGGGGGUCGAACCUCA